CCCAGACUCCUACGGGAGGCAGCAGUGGGGGAUAUUGGACAAUGGGGGAAACCCUGAUCCAGCGACGCCGCGUGAGUGAAGAAGUAUUUCGGUAUGUAAAGCUCUGUCAGCAGGGAAGAAAGAAAUGACGGUACCUGACCAAGAAGCCCCGGCUAACUACGUGCCAGCAGCCGCGGUAAUACGUAGGGGGCAAGCGUUAUCCGGAUUUACUGGGUGUAAAGGGAGCGUAGACGGCUGUGCAAGCCAGAUGUGAAAGCCCGGGGCUCAACCCCGGGACUGCAUUUGGAACUGUGUGGCUGGAGUGUCGGAGAGGCAGGCGGAAUUCCUAGUGUAGCGGUGAAAUGCGUAGAUAUUAGGAGGAACACCAGUGGCGAAGGCGGCCUGCUGGACGAUGACUGACGUUGAGGCUCGAAAGCGUGGGGAGCAAACAGGAUUAGAUACCCGAGUAC
rnacentral:rRNA from 1 species